rfam:Gossypium hirsutum cultivar TM-1 unplaced genomic scaffold scaffold4409.1, whole genome shotgun sequence
UAUUAAAAAUUUCAUCCACUCGUAUAGUUAAAAAUUGACCUGCAUGAUGGAAUAAUUAGAUUGUUACAUGUAGUUUGUCACGUGUACUUCAUGCUAAUGUACAAUGAUCAAUUUAACAAUAGAAAUGGAUGAAAUUUUUAAUA